rnacentral:rRNA from 1 species
GUUUGAUCCUGGCUCAGAACGAACGCUGGCGGCGUGCCUAACACAUGCAAGUCGAACGUGAUCCAGAGCUUGCUCUGGUGAAAGUGGCGCACGGGUGAGUAACGCGUGGAUAACCUACCCUGGUAUCCGGGAUAACAUUCCGAAAGGGGUGCUAAUACCGGAUAAGCCCACGGGCUCUUUGGAGCUUGCGGGAAAAGGUGGCCUCUAUUUAUAAGCUACUGUAUCAGGAUGGGUCCGCGUACCAUUAGCUAGUUGGCGGUGUAACGGACCACCAAGGCGACGAUGGUUAGCUGGUCUGAGAGGAUGAUCAGCCACACUGGAACUGAGACACGGUCCAGACCCCUACGGGAGGCAGCAGUGGGGAAUUUUGCGCAAUGGGGGAAACCCUGACGCAGCAACGCCGCGUGAGUGAUGAAGGCCUUUGGGUCGUAAAGCUCUGUCAGAGGGGAAGAAAUGAUAUAGUGCUAAUACCACUUUAUCUUGACGGUACCCUCAAAGGAAGCACCGGCUAACUCCGUGCCAGCAGCCGCGGUAAUAC